CUCUUCCCUGAGAGCCUGCUUGGUGUGUGUAAGAUGCCGUUAGCUCCCUGUAACUCAAACAGCAAACCUGACCGCAGCUUCAGUACUGACUUUCCUCAACUCUUCAUAAUCCACAGGAGCUGGAGGGACUGGAAACCCAAGGAUAGUGCAGAAGAUGCUGCGGUUGCUGUGGUACCCACCUUCCACACGGGCCGUGAUCCUGGUCGCCAUGGCCGUCACCUUCUGCCCACUGUGGGCUGCGGAAGGGCCUCGGAGAGAGUUUUCAAGCUGUAUAACCAUGAAAAUUGACAGAAUCUUUAUUUACAAUCACCACAAACUAGAAACUACAGCUGAUGAAUGGAUAACCAGUAUGUAUUAUACCCCUACAAUACAUCACAACUGAGCAAGAAAAAGAAGGAACGACAGAUGCGACACCAUUGGCAAAUCUCAGGACAUUCGGCUGAAGAGACUCAAAAGGCUACAUUCUGUAUGAUAUCUAUAUCUGUUUUAAAUCCUCAUCCAAAGAUAUGUUUUUAUUGAUUUUUACAGAGGAAGGGGGAGAGAGAGAGAAAAAUACAUUGAUGUGAGAAAGAAACAUCCAUCCGUUACUGCUGUACACGCCCCAACCAGGGAUCGAACCUGCAAGCUGGGUAUAUGCCCUGACCGAGAACCAAACCCGCAACCUUUUUUUUUUUUUUUUGGGGUGUACAGGAUGAUGCUCCAACCAACUGAGCCACCUGGUCAGGGCUAACUAGAUUUUACUAAGGCUCAGAGAUAUUGAGAACUUGCCCGAGGUCACAUAGCCAGUAAUUGGCAGAGCUGAGAUUUGAAAUUACAUACCCCUUGCUCUGACAGCUUGUUUCCUCCCAGGCAGUCAAGUGCAGCUCCUCAGCCCAGGCCUUGAUCUGGCCAGAGCCAAAAGCUGGCAGGACUGCAGGGAGCAAGGGCAGCCAGAACCACUGGGCCUGGCUUCUCUAGUGACCUCACCGGGGUUCUAGAAAAUUGGUUUAGGCCCUUACUUUUUCUUUUUUUUAAAAUAUAUUUUAUUGAUUUUUUACAGAGAGGAAGGGAGAGAGAUAGUUAGAAACAUCGAUGAGAGAGAAACAUCGAUUAGCUGCCUCCUGCACAUCCCCCACUGGGGAUGUGCCCGCAACCCAGGCACAUGCCCUUGACCGGAAUCGAACCCGGGACCUUUCAGUCCGCAGGCCAACGCUCUAUCCACCGAGCCAAACCGGUUUCGGCUAGGCCCUUACUUUUUCUUGAAGACCAAGAACUUGUUGUUUUGCAUGAUGCAUUCUCGAUUGUUUGAGAUCUGCUGAAAGAUGGUCUUGUUGGUCUUUCCCUGGAAGAAAAUGUUCUCCUGCACCAGAGCCUUGGUGCGGCCCCGCACUGCGAUGCCGUAGGCCCGAAAUGAAUGGAUCCGGUUCUUUAUUACCUGGAAGAGACAGACAGCUUGUCACACUGGUAGGGGAGCCAGGUAAGUGUUUCACCAGUUAUAAAACGGAGGUAAGAGCAUGCUGGGUCGGUGAGCAGUGAGCCACGGGAGCUCAGGGAAGGGAUAUCAAAGCAAACGGGGUGGGGGGAGAGGGGAGCAGGGAAGGCUUCCUGGAAGAGGUGAUGGGUAAGCUAUAGGAGUUUAUCAGGUGCAGAGCAAGGUAGGGAUGUUCCAGGAAGAAGAAAAGGCCUGGCAGAGAGGCGGGGUGGUGCCAGAGGCCAAGGCCCACGGAAACCCAACUGAGGCAACAGCUUCCACAGCUCAGACUCAAAGUCAAGGACUUCUUUACUGCUUGCCUAAGUCACUAGUCAUGAAGCCACACAGCUAAAGCGGCCUUGGGAUCAUGAUUCACACGGGCAGGAACGGGCUCAACUUUGAAAGCCUAGCACCCGGCACAGUGCUUUGCAUAAAAAGUAAGCUCAGAGCUCACUGUCCCAUUGGGAGACAGACGAGCAAAGGAACAUUUACAAAGCACCGUGGGAAGUGCUCUGUGAGGUAGGGGUGGGCAUAAGCACCUUUGAGUCCAGAAAAGGGGUGCCUCAAUAGUCUGGGGGCUCAGGGAGGGCUUCCUGAAAAAAGCCAUAGCCAAGCUGUAGGACUGAGAGAAAAAGGGGGGAAAGUGUCCUGGGUCUACAGGGAAUAGCACAUACCGGGUCCUGUAUGAGAUUAUUCUGUGAGCAGAAAUCUAGAACAGCCCUGACCUUAGCCUGGAGACCCAGAAGAUACCCCAGGGGGCAUCCCCCACCCUAGCUUCCUGCUGGUAACUCUGAUUCAUCCUUCAGGGUCCAGUUAUAUGUCCCCUCUUGUGUGAAGUCCCAUUUUUGUCUUCCAGGCUGAGAAGGCAAGAAAGCUUUCCCAGGGCUGUGCCAUGGGAUACACACACACACACACACACACACACACACACUCACUCACCUUAGUGUCAGACCUGGGCAGCAGCUGCAGCCCGCUGCCCCGAUUGCCAAUGAUGUCAUUUUCGAUGACGACGGUGCUGUCACCCUUAGUGAUGAUGCCGUGGCCUCUGUUGUCAUAGAUCCCAUUGCCCCGAAGCUCUACCUUGCACUGGAUCUCGACCUUGACCCCACUCUGGCGGUUGCAGGAGAUGCUGUUGUUAGCCACACGGGUGAGCUGGCUGCUCUGGGCUACAGUGAUGCCUCUGUCCCCAUUAGCGUGGAUCACAUUGGUGAUGACGUGCAGUGCCUCACUGCUCUGGAUGUAGAGUCCUGAGGCUGCAGGUGGAGGGUGGGGAGCAGAGAAAGCACAGGGUGGUCCCAGGGUCAGCCCUGACAGCACCAGUCGGAAAAGCCUUCCUGGAGCUGUGCCCCCAGGAGAGAGGCAGGGAAGAGAGAGCAACACUCAGAACCAGCCCUUGGGAGCUGCAGCUUCCAAGCGGGCUGACACCCAGAGCAGGAGGAAACCUGGGAACAUCAAGAAAAUGCUGUUCCUCCUGAAAUGAGUCCUCAUUAAAGGUGCCAGGGAAACGGGAUGCAAGAUUCCGCAGGCUCAGCUGGUCGUCUGGCCCAGGCUCCCAUCCUGUACUGAACGCCACCUACGUCACAGUUCUACCGCCACGUGCACCUCUUGUGCUGGAGCCCUCACCACCCCUUCCAACUCCAGACAGGCCUACCUGCUGGAAAGUUGCUGUUUUGUUUUCUUUCCCAUACUGACCUAGAAUCUGCCUCCCUACUGUUUGGAGAAAUUUGUUUAUAUGGGAAAUUCUAUAAUUUUUGAAUAAAAAAAUUGACUAAAGUAA